CCAGUGAUAGCAGGAAAAUGCACAAUGUGAGUAGUGAUUCCUAAGCAUUUAAGGGGUGAUUUUCAAGUAAUAGAGUGAGCAGAAGACACCAUGUACAGGGACUCCAGAUGCCCCAGGCAGAGGUAAAAUGCUCGAAAGAGAGGAACAUCACUACCUGGCGGGCAGGUGGGGACAGGCUUGCCACGGAUGGUCUGGGGAUGGGAUAACUCUCUGGCUCCCACUCUGAGAAGCAGGAGGUGAUCUGGCCACAAGCCCUCAAGACGUGUUGAGUUUGGGAAUACCUCACUGCUAGGGAAUACCAGGAAUUAUGCAAUUCACUGUCUUCAUUUUAAAAUUCUGUAUGGGAGAAGCUAAAAAGUGAAGUUGGGGGGUUUUAGUAUAUUUCAUUUGCAUUGGUUUACUCUUCUCGUUCCUUGAUUAUCUGAGAGGAGGCUGCUGUUACGGAAAAGCGAAAACCAGGAGUGGUUUGAAUAUUCUUCCUUGAGACUUUUGACUGUUUCUAUAAGAAGUGGAUCUGCAUGUGCCUUUUGGAUAUUGUGUUCCUCAUGACAAUGCCUUUUGUUCAUAGAUAGUUCCCAGUUUCCAAAGACUUUCCCCAUUAUAACAUUUGUUCCAUCCUCAAAACCGUCAAAUGCAAAGGCCUCCAUUUUAUUAAAGGAGAAAGUACGACUCAAAGAAGUCAAGUGACUCACCCGAGGUCACACAGCUAAAUUCUAGCAGAGCAAGGGACCAAGAUAGUGAAUUCUAAAUGCAGAGACCUUCUUAUUGUUCCAAUUUUCUGUCCGACAAUGCCCACCUCCUGGAGUGAGCAAGUCUUGCUGGAGACACAACAGCAGCUACAAGUGGUCCUCCCGACUAUUCCAGAAAUCCUUUUUCCACAGUGAAAAACUGAAUUUGCCUGCCCCAGUUUCCCAGCCGCCUCAUGACUCGAUGAGCAAUUGCUUUAACUCUGACAAAAUUAGGCCACCUCCAACCUAAAUGUAACCCGUUUUCAGAGUGAGACCCUGCAUGGAGGCAGCUCUUUUCCUGAAAGGAUAACAAAAGCAUGCUUUUGUGUGUAUUUCACUUGAUGGAAAGAAAUCCCCAGUGAGGCCGUUUUUUCCCCCUGAAUUCUCCCAAGUCCAGAAUGUAUCCAAGUUUCCAAUAUUACCUCAGAAGAGCCAUUCAUCUAUGAAGAUGGCCGAAUUGUCUUCCAGCUCGGUAGACAGUGUGUCUGCGAGAGAGAAGGUGCUGCUAUUUUGGGUGUUUUGUACUUGUGGAGCAGAAAGAAUGCUGAAUCAGGAAGGCAGGUGAUUCAAGACUAAGCUCGGCCUUGAAGGGGUCACCACUAGAUAUUUUCCCUUAUGAUCUCUGCAGGAAAAUAGACCAAGGAGCUGGUGUCCUUAUAAAGGAGGGAAAUGUGGAGACAAUUAUUCACUUAGAGAGAACACCGUGUGAGGAUGAAGGCAGAGAUCAGGUGAUGCUUCUGUAAAUCAAAGAGCACCAAAGAUUGGAGUGAGUUGGAUGAAGGCAAGAAGCAAACGAACAAAGAACACCAAAGAUUGUCCGCAAAUCACCAGAAGCCGGGAGAGAGGCCUGGAGCCGAUUCUUUCUGG
rnacentral:lncRNA from 1 species